UACAGAGGGUGCGAGCGUUGUCCGGAAUCACUGGGCGUAAAGGGCGCGUAGGCGGCGCGGUAAGCGUGCGGUGAAAGCCCGGGGCUCAACCCCGGGUCGGCCGUGCGGACUGCCGGGCUGGAGCACUGUAGAGGCAGGUGGAAUUCCGGGUGUGGCGGUGGAAUGCGUAGAGAUCCGGAAGAACACCGGUGGCGAAGGCGGCCUGCUGGGCAGUAGCUGACGCUGAAGCGCGACAGCGUGGGGAGCAAACAGG
rnacentral:rRNA from 1 species